GACGAACGCUGGCGGCGUGCUUAACACAUGCAAGUCGAGCGGUAAGGCCCUUCGGGGUACACGAGCGGCGAACGGGUGAGUAACACGUGAGCAAUCUGCCCUUCACUCUGGGAUAACCACCGGAAACGGGAGCUAAUACCGGAUACGACAACUUCGGACAUCCGAAGGCGGGGGAAAGUUCCGGCGGUGAAGGAGGAGCUCGCGGCCUAUCAGCUUGUUGGGGGGGUAACGGCCCAGCAAGGCUUCGACGGGUAGCCGGCCUGAGAGGGUGACCGGCCACACUGGGACUGAGACACGGCCCAGACUCCUACGGGAGGCAGCAGUGGGGAAUAUUGGACAAUGGGCGAAAGCCUGAUCCAGCAACGCCGCGUGAGGGAUGACGGCCUUCGGGUUGUAAACCUCUUUCAGCGCAGACGAAGCGAAAGUGACGGUAUGCGCAGAAGAAGCACCGGCCAACUACGUGCCAGCAGCCGCCGUAA
rnacentral:rRNA from 1 species